rnacentral:rRNA from 1 species
UUUGGGGAGAAAUUCCAAUCGAACCCGGAGAUAGCUGGUUCUCUCCGAAAUAGCUUUAGGGCUAGCGUCGAGUAUGAGUAGUGGAGGUAGAGCACUGAAUGGGCUAGGGGGCAUAGCGCUUACCGAACCUUAUCAAACUCCGAAUGCCACAUACUUUGAGCUCGGCAGUCAGACUACGAAUGAUAAGAUCCGUGGUCAAAAGGGAAACAGCCCAGAUCGUCAGCUAAGGUCCCAAAGUGUAAGUUAAGUGGGAAAGGAUGUGAGAUUUCUAAGACAACUAGGAUGUUGGCUUAGAAGCAGCCAUUCAUUAAAAGAGUGCGUAAUAGCUCACUAGUCGAGAGAUCUUGCGCCGAAAAUGUAACGGGGCUAAACUUACCACCGAAGCUACGGGCUUGAACUUAUGUUCAAGCGGUAGGAGAGCGUCGUAACCGGGCUGAAGUCGUACCGUAAGGAGCGGUGGACUGGUUACGAGUGAGAAUGUUGGCAUCAGUAGCGAGAUGUGGGUGAGAAUCCCACAGGCCGAAAACCUAAGGUUUCCUCAGGAAGGUUCGUCCGCUGAGGGUUAGUCGGGACCUAAGCCGAGGCCGAAAGGCGUAGGUGAUGGACAACUGGUUGAUAUUCCAGUACCACUACCAUCGUUAUUAUCGAUGGCGUGACGCAGGAGGAUAGUGUGUGCUAGCUAUUGGAUGCUAGUCUAAGCGUUUAGGCAGUGAGAGUAGGCAAAUCCGCUCUCACAAUGCUGAGACGUGAUGGGGAAGGUUCUACGGAACCGAAGUACAUGAUUCCACGCUGCCAAGAAAAGCGUCUAGAGAGAGAAGUAGUGCCCGUACCGCAAACCGACACAGGUAGGUGAGGAGAGAAUCCUAAGGCCGGCGGAAGAAUUACAGUUAAGGAACUCGGCAAAUUGACCCCGUAAGUUCGCGAGAAGGGGUGCCUACGAGAGUAGGCCGCAGAGAAUAGGCCCAAGCAACUGUUUAGCAAAAACACAGGUCUCUGCUAAAGCGUAAGCUGAUGUAUAGGGGCUGACGCCUGCCCGGUGCUGGAAGGUUAAGGGGAACACUUAGCGCAAGCGAAGGUGUGAACUUAAGCCCCAGUAAACGGCGGCCGUAACAAUAACGGUCCUAAGGUAGCGAAAUUCCUUGUCAGGUAAGUUCUGUCCCGCACGAAUGGCGUAAUGACUUGGGCACUGUCUCAACUGUAAAUCCGGCGAAGUUGUAGUGCGAGUGAAGAUGCUCGCUACCCGCGAUUGGACGGAAAGACCCCGUAGAGCUUUACUGUAGCUUAGCAUUGAGUUUC